AUUCAAGGAAGGCAGCAGGCGCGCAAAUUACCCAAUCCCAAUACGGGGAGGUAGUGACAAUAAAUAACGAUACAGGGCCCUUUCGGGUCUUGUAAUUGGAAUGAGUACAAUUUAAAUACCUUAACGAGGAACAAUUGGAGGGCAAGUCUGGUGCCAGCAGCCGCGGUAAUUCCAGCUCCAAGAGCGUAUGUAAAAGUUGUUGCAGUUAAAAAGCUCGUAGUUGAACCUUGGGCUUGGUUGGCCGGUCCGCCUAUGGCGAGUACUGGAAUCAACCGAGCCUUUCCUCCUGGCUAACUAGUUUCCCUUGUGGAGGCUAGCGAACCAGGACUUUUACUUUGAAAAAAUUAGAGUGUUCAAAGCAGGCCUUUGCUCGAAUACAUUAGCAUGGAAUAAUAGAAUAGGACAUCGGUUCUAUUUUGUUGGUUUCUAGGACCGCUGUAAUGAUUAAUAGGGAUAGUCGGGGGCGUCAGUAUUCAAUUGUCAGAGGUGAAAUUCUUGGAUUUAUUGAAGACUAACUACUGCGAAAGCAUUCGCCAAGGAUGUUUUCAUUAAUCAGUGAACGAAAGUUAGGGGAUCGAAGACGAUCAGAUACCGUCGUAGUCUUAACCAUAAACUAUGCCGACUAGGGAUCGGACGGUGGUUUUUUUAUGCCCCGUUCGGCACCUUACGA
rnacentral:rRNA from 1 species